rnacentral:tmRNA from 1 species
GGGGAUGAUCGGAUUCGACAUUGCCUGCGAGCGAGAGAGAAGCGGGUCGAGGAUGCACAGUUAUCUCGUAAACGCUCUGUGCAAAAUAUAGGUGCCAAAUCUAAGCGCGCCGACUUCGCCCUCGCUGCUUAAGCGAGCCUGAAGUCCGUCAGACCGGACUAGAUCCCGAUCCGUGUUCUGGCGUCAUCUAGGGAACUAGCUGCAGUGUUAUGCCUGAGGGCACUGUGGGACUCUUACUCAGACUGGGCUCGUCGACUUAGAUGCUGGUAACAAAGGUCGGAGCCAAGUAGAACGCCUCUAAUCAGCUACACCCGUAGAAGACUCACAAUCCCAGCAGUGGACGGGGGUUCAAUUCCCCCCAUCUCCACCA